rnacentral:rRNA from 1 species
ACGGCGAGUGAAGCGGCAACAGCUCAAAUUUGAAAUCUGGCUCUUUCAGAGUCCGAGUUGUAAUUUGCAGAGGGCGCUUUGGCGUUGGCAGCGGUCCAAUGUUCUUUGGAACAGGACGUCACAGAGGGUGAGAAUCCCGUACGUGGUCGCUAGCCUUCGCCGUGUAAAGCCCCUUCGACGAGUCGAGUUGUUUGGGAAUGCAGCUCUAAAUGGGAGGUAAAUUUCUUCUAAAGCUAAAUAUUGGCCAGAGACCGAUAGCGCACAAGUAGAGUGAUCGAAAGAUGAAAAGCACUUUGGAAAGAGAGUCAAAUAGCACGUGAAAUUGUUGAAAGGGAAGCGCUUGCAGCCAGACUUGCCUGUAGUUGCUUAUCUGGACUUUUGUCCGGUGCACUCUUCUAUAGGCAGGCCAGCAUCAGUUUGGGCGGUUGGAUAAAGGUCUCUGUCAUGUACCUCCUUUCGGGGAGGCCUUAUAGGGGAGACGACAUGCAACCAGCCUGGACUGAGGUCCGCGCAUCUGCUAGGAUGCUGGCGUAAUGGCUGUAAGCGGCCCGUCUUGAAACACGGACCAAGGAGUCUAACAUCUAUGCGAGUGUUUGGGUGUCAAGCCCAGACGCGUAAUGAAAGUGAACGGAGGUGGGAACCCUUUGGGUGCACCAUCGACCGAUCCUGAUGUCUUCGGAUGGAUUUGAGUAAGAGCAUGGCUGUUGGGGACCCGAAAGAUGGUGAACUAUGCUUGAAUAGGGUGAAGCCAGAGGAAACUCUGGUGGAGGCUCGCAGCGGUUCUGACGUGCAAAUCGAUCGUCAAAUUUGGGCAUAGGGGCGAAAGACUA